GGUUAGGGUCUGUACUGACAUCACACAGAGGGGGCGGUGUUGAGGUACUAAUUAGCGGUAUUUGGGAACAGCUGAGUGGGCAGGUGAGUCUCAGGAAGUGAGACUGUGGGUUGAGAGUUUCUGGAGGUGGGACUCUGAUAUAGGACCUAACCCAAAGGGACAACCGUUUUGCUGUCAAGUCUCUUUAAUGAGGGACCUUUUUGGUUGUUAAUAAACAGGGAAGUUGAACGACGGGAGUCAAAGCGUGGGCUAGUCACCUGGAGACGAGGAGCCGCUGCGGAGUUUCACAGAGAGAGAGUUGUUCGCCUACGGUGGCUGUGGACCUGUGCGAUGGCGGUACCAGGUGUCCAGCUGAGGUAGCUGAGCGGAGCGCCUGAGCUGGGCUGUGUGGUCAACGCUUGGAGAAGACAUCAUCCGGACUUGGUCCCCGGUCUCCAGGGGAUAGGCAG
ensembl:lncRNA